UAGAGUUUGAUCCUGGCUCAGAUUGAACGCUGGCGGCAUGCUUUACACAUGCAAGUCGAACGGCAGCGUGGGCUUCGGCCUGGCGGCGAGUGGCGAACGGGUGAGUAAUGCAUCGGAACGUACCCAGUCGUGGGGGAUAACACAUCGAAAGAUGUGCUAAUACCGCAUACGUCCUGAGGGAGAAAGCGGGGGACCUUCGGGCCUCGCGCGAUUGGAGCGGCCGAUGUCAGAUUAGCUAGUAGGUGGGGUAAAGGCCCACCUAGGCGACGAUCUGUAGCGGGUCUGAGAGGAUGAUCCGCCACACUGGGACUGAGACACGGCCCAGACUCCUACGGGAGGCAGCAGUGGGGAAUUUUGGACAAUGGGGGCAACCCUGAUCCAGCCAUGCCGCGUGAGUGAAGAAGGCCUUCGGGUUGUAAAGCUCUUUCGGCCGGGAAGAAAUCGCAUCUUUUAAUAGAGGGUGUGGAUGACGGUACCGGACUAAGAAGCACCGGCUAACUACGUGCCAGCAGCCGCGGUAAUA
rnacentral:rRNA from 1 species